rnacentral:rRNA from 1 species
GAGUUUGAUCCUGGCUCAGGAUGAACGCUGGCGGCGUGCUUAACACAUGCAAGUCGAACGGGAAUUACUUUAUUGAAACUUUGGUCGAUUUAAUUUAAUUCUAGUGGCGGACGGGUGAGUAACGCGUGGGUAACCUGCCUUAUACUGGGGGAUAACAGCCAGAAAUGACUGCUAAUACCGCAUAAGCGCACGGGACCGCAUGGUCCUGUGUGAAAAACUCCGGUGGUAUAAGAUGGACCCGCGUUGGAUUAGCUAGUUGGCAGGGCAGCGGCCUACCAAGGCGACGAUCCAUAGCCGGCCUGAGAGGGUGAACGGCCACAUUGGGACUGAGACACGGCCCAGACUCCUACGGGAGGCAGCAGUGGGGAAUAUUGCACAAUGGGGGAAACCCUGAUGCAGCGACGCCGCGUGAAGGAAGAAGUAUCUCGGUAUGUAAACUUCUAUCAGCAGGGAAGAUAAUGACGGUACCUGACUAAGAAGCCCCGGCUAACUACGUGCCAGCCGCCGCGGUAAUAC